UUCUUCUUCUUCUUUCUUCUUUAUCAUCACACUUUACUUACCAUUCUUUGUAGUUUUUAGAAAGCAAAGGCUUCUCAUCCUUUUUCCUAUUUUUAGAAAACAAGAGAAAGAGAGAGCAGAGUCUCAUCCAAAGUUUCUCGUCGUCAAACUCUGUUCCACACGGCUGGGAAGAAAUUAUAACCAGAAGUUGCAGAGGGUAUUAUCAGGGACCAAAAGUUCAAUAUCAAAAACAAGUGGUGGAUUCAUACUCUAGUUUUAAUCGGUUUGAGUAGAUCAGAUUUUACUGAGAAGCGAGAGAGAAAUACGGGAAAGUCCUUUUGUCAGCUAACGAAUGACGGCAACCUUUGGGCGGCGGAACAUUACCACUCUACCAACAUGUUGAGCCGGAGGAUCUUCCCGUUAAGUUAUCUUGUAUCUUCUUCUUCUUCUGAUCGUUGUUUCAGCUCGUUCGUUUUUAGCUUUUCUGAUUUUUUAUAUUUGAUCGUUUUUUUUUCCAAACUCGCUAGUAAUUUGUAGAAUUGAAUUAGCUCCCCAAAGUAUCAUAUCUAUCAAUAGAGUUACAUAUAAUGAAAUAUAUACUCUGUAUCCUACUUCGAAUUGGCAUAUGCGAAAAACUAGAUAAUGUUUUAUAGAAGUAAUAUUGAUGGUAGUCUUCUUCUGA